GAUUGAAGCUUCGAGAAUUGAAAAACAAGCGGAGAUUCCGAGUCCCAGAAAAGGAAUUGAUGAUAGAGGGGUUGGGUUUCUUGAAUUGGGUAGAGAAGCAGAGGAGACAGUGAAAGAAAAGUUCGAGUUGGAAAAGGGAAUUGUGCCGAGGAAGAAGCAAAUGGUGAAAAGAUCGAAUUUGAUUGCGAAGCAAGUGAUCAGUAUUCAGUCUGCUCUCAGCUUGGGCUUUGUGUCGCAGCUUUGGGUUGACAUAAAUUCUUGGAUUGUUUUCCUAGUUGAAGUGAGGCCAAACUUACUUUCUGGUGAAGGGGAAAAGUUUCUGCUGGAGGAUGUCAAACAGGUAGGAGAUGUUGUGCUUGUUGGAGAUGAGAGUGUGAUGGAAAAUGAAUUCAAGCUUAUUGGACUGCAGACAUUGGUGGGGUACAACGUUGUAACGCCACGUCAACGGAAUGUUGGGAAGGUUCGUGGCUAUACUUUCAAUAUUAACUCAGGGGCAGUAGAAUCUCUCGAGCUUGAUUCCUUGGGAAUAUCCAUAAUACCGUCCACCUUGGUCAGCACCUACGGUUUAUUUGUUGAGGAUGUGGUUGAUGUUUUAUCUGAUACCAUCGUUGUUCAUGAAGCUGCAGCCUCACGCCUACAGAGACUUACUAAGGGAUUAUGGGAUGCCCAGAACAUGUCUUACUCUGCAGAUGAAAUGCAAGAUCAUAGCAACUUAAGAAACACACGUGCUAAGCCGGAGUAUAGCAGAAGUCGUAAAAGAUCUUCAGGAAAAAAGUUAAGGAAGAAACUGAAAGAACUUGCUGAUGAUUGGGACCUUCCAAUGGAUUUCUUUUAAUCUGCUGCAUUUCUCCACAAUGUACAUCACAAGUUCCCAUUUUGGUAUAUGUUGUUAGAGAGAGUCUGUUUUGGUACGUUGUGUCAAAAUAAUUGCCUCUUUGGCACCAGACUUGUUAUCUGUACAGUGUCUAACACAGUCUCUGAGUUCAUA
rnacentral:misc_RNA from 1 species